AUAUGUUGAAAUCCUAACUCCCAAAGUGAUAGUCAUUGGAGUUGGGGCCUUCAGGAGGUGAUUCGGUCAUCAGAGUGAAGCCCCCAGGAAUGAGAUCAAUGCCCUUAUGAAAGAGGCACGAGGCCGGUCAUUCACUCCUUCCACCAAGUGAGGUUACAGCGAAAAAAUGGCUGUCCGUGCGGUGGGCCCUCGCCAGACUGGAUCUCUCACCAUCUUGAUGUUGGACUUCCCAGCUCCCAGAACUAUCUUUCCUGAGCACACAGAAGAUCAAGACCACACUCACUGACUUCUCAUAGUCAAGCAAUUUUGGCCAAUUAAAUGUCAGUUGGAAACUCCUGUGUCAGCUUCUCUGUGGCUGUGAGAAGUCCCUGUGUGACAUCCCAACUCCCCCCCCACCUGCGUUGGCAACCAAGAAAGCCUUGUGUUGGAGGUGGGGCCACAAGUUUAAAGCUAAGUUACCACCUCGAAGGCACAUUCCUGGAGAGCUUCCCAGGCCCACAGUGGCACGUGUAUGAGUGACAGAUCCACUUCUUUAUUACCUUUUUGAAGAACAGGAACCUUUGUCUGGAAAUUCCACAAGUAUGCCUUUUGCAAGAUUAAAAGUGCCACAAAGAACAAAAAUGAUCCCAGGACCAGAUGCCUGUUAGAAGCCAUCAGACACGUUAAGUUUCAUCUCCAUUGACCUGGUGAGACAAAGAGACUAGAAGGGGUAGAGUCAGCUAACUUCUCUCCUCCCAACACUGAUGAGAUUUUGGUUAAUUCUCUUCCCUUGCUCAAUGACCGUAAAGAAAAUUUGGGAAUGUGUAUUUCAGGGAAAACGAAAAUGAUCCCAAUAAAGAUCGGAGAUGCAGGAAGGAAGGAAAACAUAGAAAUUGAGCCAGUUGGAGUGUGAGGCUUCAGAAUCGCCUUCCAACUCUCUGUGCACUGCACCAGCUGCUUCCCAUAGACUCCUGGGAAAAUAUAGAGCAGAAGGAAGAAGAGCCACUACCCAUAACAUCAGUGGCUGCUAACUAAGGAGUGUUUUGACAUGCUGGUACAGCCUAUCCUCAGCUUUCCAGAAGGUGGAAUCUUGUGAUAGUGGAAAGAAGUAGAAGAGAUGAAGUACCUAUGACUCCAGGAUUUGCCAGUGAAAGAAGUCAACAAUAUUUUAACUUUGAUCUUAACCAAAAGGCCAAGAAGUGAUGCUAAUAUUUUCAUAUACUACGACAGUUGCAGACACACGUCUAUCAUAGCUGGGUAGUAAUCCAGGCAACUCUGCCACAAGUCAUGGGCUCAGCCACCAGUCCACGAAGUCUCCAGUCACACAUAUUGCUUCGGACUAUUCUCUAUCCCCAGUUGUCAAUUAACUAAAAUAUUAAAUGAGCCACUGAAAGCUAACUACACUGGAACACUCUCAUUUCUGCAAAGAAAAAUAUCAUAUCCCAGGAUGAAAAGGAGGAGGAAGAGGAAAGGCUAACUUAACAAGAAGCUCUUUGACAUUCUUGAAUUAGACACCCAACGUAGUCCACACAGUACGGAGGAUGACUUCAGAAGUGCAAUUCUGAUAUGGACUUUGUCUCCCUAAGGCUUUCAAUUCCUCAUAUUUAGGAUAAAACAGAAGUUUAUCUAAAGCAAAGGGAGAGGGUCACCAGAAGAGGGAAGGAGGAACAGCAGAAGGAGAGGUCCACACAUGAAAAUACUUGGAAGCGCUCCAGGGCCUAUCAGAUGCAGGUCUUGGCGGGAAUUACCAAACAUACUUUAGACAGGCUGCUGUGUUGCUGAGUGUGGACUGGCCUCAGGGCCUACUGAUCAAAGCAAAAGGAAGCAGUGAAAAAAACAUCACCAUGUCUUCUUAGAGUCUAAUCUGGGGGCAAGAGGCCAGCACAGUUGGUGCUGAUUUUCUUGGGCGGAUAGAGGAAAGGUGUAGGCGUGGCCAACAUUUGAGCAGCAUGUGGUUCCUCCCACACGCCAUGCUGUUUCCAGCCUCCUUGCAUUUUACUCAUGCCAUCCUCCUGGUCACUUCUUUGAGAUAUUAAGUGCAUUCUUUAGGACUCAGACUCAGCUCAAGGGUCAGUGCAUCCAUGAAGCCUUACCUGGAUCCCAGAGGGAGCUCUGUGCUCCUCCUUUGUCUCCUAUAGGACCCAGUACAUGCGUCCGGUAUUAUCCAUACACACUGAAACGAUCUAGCAUGUGUCUUCCCAUAGGAUUUCAAAUUCUUAGAAUAUACGAGUGAUGCCUUCUUCCUACUUAUAUUUCCAGUGUUAACAGUGCCUGUCAAUUGACUUGAAGAUAACUAAAAGUCUGGUAGUUAGGGGCUGCUUCCCACCUCCAAAUACUUCCCUGGAAGUCAUUGUAUGGGCACUGACAUUGGUAGGUCUCCACUGGCUUGUAGAUGCUUCUGAUUAUAAGGUAGUCUCAGAUGCCUUCAGAAAGUUCUAAGACUGUAUAAAACAUUUCCUUCACAACCAAUAACUGUGUAUUAUUGUUCGUGUAAUUCCAGAAGUUAUCCUUUUGAUAGAGAGCAAUUACUUUAUUGAUUGAGAGUUAGCUAAUUAUGUAAUAAAGGUAAAGAUUUGCAUAGAGAAGUGU